rnacentral:rRNA from 1 species
UACGAAGGGGGCUAGCGUUGCUCGGAAUUACUGGGCGUAAAGCGCACGUAGGCGGCUUCUUAAGUCGGGGGUGAAAUCCUGGAGCUCAACUCCAGAACUGCCUUCGAUACUGGAAGCUCGAGUCCGGGAGAGGCGAGUGGAACUGCGAGUGUAGAGGUGAAAUUCGUAGAUAUUCGCAAGAACACCAGUGGCGAAGGCGGCUCACUGGCCCGGUACUGACGCUGAGGUGCGAAAGCGUGGGGAGCAAACAGG